rnacentral:tRNA from 1 species
GGCCCCUUAGCUCAACUGAAUAGAGCACUGGAUUUCGGCUCCAGCGGUUCGGGGUUUGAAUCCCUGAGGGGUCACUA